rnacentral:rRNA from 1 species
UACAGAGGGGGCAAGCGUUAUUCGGAAUUAUUGGGCGUAAAGGGCGCGUAGGCGGCCAUUCAAGUGACGGGUGAAAGCCCUCGGCUUAACCGAGGAACUGCCUGUCAGACUGGAUGGCUUGAGACCGGGAGAGGUGAGUGGAAUUCCCAGUGUAGCGGUGAAAUGCGUAGAUAUUGGGAGGAACACCAGCGGCGAAGGCGGCCAUCUGGACAGAUAUUGACGCUGAGGUGCGAAAGCGUGGGGAGCAAACAGG